AGCAAGAAUAAGGAGUAUUGGCAGCAGCAAGCAGGCAGGCAGGCUGAGAUUUUGCAUGGGAAUCAUGAACCCUGUCUUGCUUUUCUUUUCUGAAAUGUUUUGGAAGGAGAGUUAUGAAUAGGUCUCAUUUUGUGGGUGGGAAAAACAAUAGCCAGAGGCAUGAAAGCUAAACCUUCCAGCAAGUGUGAGGUACCUCUCUUGGAGUGUGCAGUCAACCCGAGAGGAGGAAUUUUACCUUCUGCGAACUUCUGAACCAUCACAUCUGGAGUGAAAGGGACGGCAAAGCAGUGUGAUACCGUAGACGAUGCUGCUGAGCGCUUUGGUCUGCCUUUAACUCAUUGUGGCAAAGUUGGACAUCCCAAAGAUGGCGUAGAUGAACAUGACCAGGAAAAGCAGGAGGCCGAUGUUGAACAGCGCGGGGAGAGACAUCAUCAGAGCAAAGAGCAGGGUGCGGAUCCCCUUGGCGCCUUUGAUCAGGCGUAGGAUCCGGCCGAUCCUGGCCAGGCGGAUGACUCGGAAGAGGUGACAAGAAUGAUAUACUGCAGGUAAUCUGAUGAAACUAUUGGAAACCAGAGUGGAGAAAACACCUAGACCACAAGUCUGAAGAGCAUACUGGAGAUGAGACAUACAGUGCCCACCUCAGAGAAUUCUACGUAGUCAAUCACCCCUCAGACCUGUCAGCUCUAAUACAACCUCAGACAAUCUGCUGCUAAGCAACCAGCGAGGCAAGGAAGACCGGUUGCUGUGUUAGACUAACCUGGAGGGAAGUGAAUUCCAACACUUGAUUCCUCCUCUGAGAAGUAUUUAAGUACCACUAAUGGAGCCUCUGAACAGAUGACAGCAGAUCCCCUCCUACAGGCAGAGAAAUGUCUCAGGUCUCUGCUGUCUCUGGGGAAUCCUUAAGGACUCUGCUGUCUGGAAGGAAUAUUGUUCUGAAAACCUAUAAGGAGUCAAAAAUCAGAGGCAGCCCAUCUGACGGUGUAAAAUUCCACUUUGAAGAGAUUUGUUUAGUUUUCAGCAUGUUGUACUCUUGUACAGAGAACACUCAUGGGAGAAUCCCCCUAGAUGUUGACAGUUCAAAUUAUGACUUUCUCAGAAGUUAUGGAAGUGAGUCUCUAUACUAAUUCUUACCCUAGUUACCGGAUUGGGAAAAUGUGAGCAUUGUUUGCCCAUUAUCACAGCUAGCAAAUUUCUCACUGGACCUCUGUAUCAUUUUGACCACAUAGAAGGCACCUCAUGGUGUAAGUUCAAAUUGUAAUUAUCAAAUGUUUUAUCAGAACUCUUUUGUGUUCAGUUAGGUUAGUUUUAUAUUAUGUGCAUAUCAUUGGUGAUUUCCAGUUUGUUUUGUAAUGACUAUUAACAGCAUUUGUCCUACAUAUAAUGUCUAUGCUUUAACAUGGGAUAUAUUUUUAAACUCUUUCUCAGAAAUUUCAACAGCAAGUUUUGUUUGACAGUUUUCUAUAUGUCUUGCCUCUGUAGUCAUAACUUUAUGACAAAGAUAAUGUGAGUCCUUUAUUUCAGGAAUUUCAAAAUAGUUAUUAGUGUAUAACUGCAUUGGGAACUCAGAAUAUUUUAUAUACCCCUCCUCACCAUGUCCAGUGAGUUUCUUGAUGGGGUUGUCUUUUUCUAUAUAUGUUUCUCUUAUUGGUUAAUGAAUAAAACACUGUUCGCCAAUGAGACAGGAAGAUAGACGGAUUGAGGAGACAAGGAGAGUUCUGGGAAAGGUAGGCAGAUGGAGCCCGCCACAGAGUCACACUGUGGAGCCCGGGAGGGAACGAUGGCCAGGUGUUCUCCAGUAAGAUGGAUUUCUCUAAGUCCAUGUAGAAAUACAUAGAUUAAUAGAAAUGGGUUAAUAAUUAAGACAGACCUAGCCAAUAAGAAGCCCAAGCCACUAGUCCAACAGUUUUAUAACUGAUACAUCAUCUGUGUGUUCAUUUGGGGCUGAAGGGCAUUGGGACCAACCCGGGAAAAGAUACUCUCAUGUUACAGUUUCUUACCUAUGGUCACUUAAAUUGCAUUUAUAUUAAACCAGCCCAAACUAAACAAACCAAAUUUAAAAAUCUUUUAAAUGGCACCAAGAUGCAUGAAUAAAUAAAAUGAAAAUAAAAAUACCUUUAAAUAUAUGGAUAGAAUUAGUUCAGAUCUAAAUUGGAAAAAAAGUGGAAAUGUAAAAAAAAUUAACAUUUAUCCUUUUUAUUUCGGCUCACUGCUGCUACGUAAAAUACUGCUCUGAAAAUGUCCCUUCUUUAGAAACAGUGAUGCUUCUCACCAGGCAAAAUUCUGACUCAACUUCAUUUUUCAAGCAAUUUCAAGCAUCAUGAAAUCUUUAUAAAUGUUUUUUUAAAGGGUCUUAAAUUAAAUCAGAGUUAAUAUCAAUGAAGGUAACCUAACUUGGUAAGAUGUACUGUUAAUCUGAGGUGAUAGUGUUUACUUUAUUAAUGUUGCACCCCACCCCAACUUUUAAUAUAGCUCUAUCAAGAGAAAAGUAUCAGAAAAGCCCAAAGUAAGAAGAGCACAUGAGUGAUGGAUUAUAUAUAGUGAUUGUCAAAGUGACAAGAUACAGAGUCACCUUAAAUAUCUGAGCUUGUCCUUGGGGGAUUUUCUGAUUUAGGUCACUGAAGGAAGGAAAAUUCACCUCUACUGCCAGGCGAAUAAACAGGAGCAAAUAAGCUGAUGAUCAAUAGUUAUCCUCUGCUUCUUGCCUAUAGAAGCAACAUGGCCAGCAGUUUUAAGCUCUUGACACUGUUUUUCCCACCAUGACAGACUACACUCUGCUUUGCAAGCCAGAAUCAAUUCUUUCUUCCUGAAUUUUCUUUUGUCCAGUAUUUGAUCACAAGAAAGGCAACCAAUUCAGAAAAUUGUUCCUGUCAAGUUUGUCAUCAUAAAUGUGAUUCUUAGGCCUUUGGAACUAGUUCACAGGGGGGAGUAUGGAAUAGUUUGUACUUUGUGUGAGCAAAGCCCUUGAGCACAGAGCAGAGAGAAAUGGACUGUUCUUGUGGAAGCUUGGAAGACAGUAAUGCCAGAGAAACACAGGCAGUAAAGACCUCGAUCCCGAGGUUUUAGAGGGGGAAAUGACUCUGCUUUGAAUUGGUCUUGGGCAUGCAUAUGAGAUAUUCCGGCUGAGAAUCUGGCUUCAUUCUGUCCUUGUUCUGAGAAAUCAAAGGACGUUGAAUUUAAAGAAAAUGAUUAAUCUGUUUGGCAGAGGAAAUUUCAUGACAGAAACACAUUAGUGCUGUAUCAUAGUUAUUUCAUUACUUCUCAUUUCUUUUGCCCAAGACAAGACAAAUGUGAACUUUGGCAAGGCAUGUCAUGUGAACAAGUUUGAAAACUAGCACUAUGUACUGGGCCUACAGAAAAAGGUUGGGCAACGCCAAGGGCAAGCCCAGGAGCGUCAAACAGGGUGUGAGAUGGGAAGCCAGGACAGAGAAGUGAACAAGGUGAGAGGAUAACUAACACUAAAGACCUUUAGAAAAAGUUAAUGAGGUCAGAAUGUCCCAUGGUGGUACAUGCCUCCAACCCAUCCCUCAUGGUGAAGGUAAGAGGAUCAUAAAGUCAAGGACAGCCUGUAAUAUAUAGUAAGCUUGAGGCAAGCCUGGUUUAUGUAAGACCCUGUCUCAAAAAAAAAUAAGCAAAUAAACAAACACCAAUCUUGUAGUUAAUGUAUCAUAUUUAUACAAUUAGGUUUAUCAUUACCCUUAUUUAAAGUGUAAGUGUAUCUGUGAUAAGUGAAUAAUAAUCAGAACUGCUGUUCAUUAAGACAAGGUACAAUUAAUAUGGAAUCUCAUAUUUUACUACUGUCAAUUAAGAUGAUUUAUAAUUAAUAUAGAAAUUAUGUACUUUAUGUCAUAUAAAAUUGCAUUGCUUUGAUCAAUAGGAGAUACAUUAGAAAUGCUGAUCAAUUUUUAAGUCUUUAGAUUGGUAAGAUAAUUUUCUAUAAAUGCACCCUUAUGGGUCAGGAAUGAGCUUUCAUCUUAUAAACAGAACUUAACUGGAGUCUCAGUGUCUGAGCACUAAUUACACUUGAGAGUCGCAUGGCUCAGUGGGUUAAAGAGGGUGUGGUAAGGGAUUCUGUUUUCUUGUUGUUGUUUUGUUUUUUCUUUUAGAAUAUGAACAGCUUAACUCAUUUGUGCUAAACAUAGGAAAUAAUUUGAAGAUGCUAAAUAAGAGCCUCGUUACACAGGCAUCAGAAAUGAUUCUGUCAAGGCACAAACAUCACUGUUUGGGUUUUAUUGAUUUGGGAGCUGGAGUAACCCAGUUGAAGGAAACAGGUUUGACUCAGAAAUCCCUCUUUUACAGAAAUCCAAGUGUCUGUUGACAUCAUCAGGGCAAAGUGACAGCUCCAGUGUGAUUGUCAGGGAUACACUUACAGACGGAUCAUAAAAACAAAGGCACUGCAUCUAAAAAUUCUCUUCAUCCCUUCACAUCUUUUCUAUUUGUGGUAUGGAAAAUCCAAUGACAUUAAAAGCAUUGUGGAAGACCAGAAAUGCAAUGUUCCAUUUUGGAAACACUGUGGAAUGACAACUAAGAACACUUACAGAUGGUGCCUGACACUGUCUGUACACACGGUACCAAAGUGACACAAGCCUCGGCACCCAAGUGGGAUAGCAAGAUUACAAAAUCUUUGUUUAUCUUUAUCUACUGGGUUUUCCUCCUUUAUAUAAUAUAAAGUAAGGCAGUAUCUAUACCACAAGUGAUGAACCCAGUCAUACAAAGAUGUUUGCGCAAUAUUGGUCAAUCAUCAGAAAUAUGUUAUAGAGGCACACCGUAGCCUAGAAUCAGGCCACUGGUGAUACUGUCCUGUGUGACCUCAGCUAGCCAACUUCUGUGAAUCCCAGCAUUUCCUCCCCUUCACGACCCCUACCUUUGAUAUUUUUAUCAAUAAUUAAGGAUAGAAUACAAAAUGAUAGAUCUUGGGAACUGGGGAUUUAACCUAGUGGUAGAGUGUUUGCCUAGCGAGCACAAGGCCCUGGGUUUGGUUCUCAGCUCUGGAAAACAAAACAAAACAAACAAACAAAAAUACAGAAUAAUAGAUUUCAUCAUGGCAUAUUCAUAUAUAUUAUCUAUGUCAUUAUACUUUGCUCCUUAUCAUUCCCCUACCCCACUGCCUUUCUCUGCACCCCUCCCCAACUCCAACUGGUUAGCUUUCCUCCCCCAAGCUAUUCCCAAGUUCUGCAUUGUUACAUAUUUUUCAUUAGCCUCCAUUAACAUGUCUUCCUUCAAAUCAUAUUCUUUCUAGUUUCAUGACCUACACAUGUGUAUAAAAAUACCUAUAUACCUAAAUAAUUUUAUGUGAGUGAAAAUGAAGAGCAAGAAUAAUGAAACUAUCAGUGUUGUUGCAAAUUUAUAGAGAAGACUGAAGUGAGGAAUUGAACAUUCCUUUUGAGACUGACUUGGUAUGCGAACUUUCCUGGUGACAAACACAGGCAUUGUUAAACAGAUGGGAAGAAAGAAAAAGAUCAAGGUAAUUGCUCAGAUAAGCUUGCAGAUUAAAAGCAGUAUUGAUUUAUUCUGUGUUACCAGUAAAGCAUGGGUAUCACAUUAAGGAAAAAAAUAAAAGCACUUCCCAUGGAGUUAUUUAACCAAUAAAUAAAUAAAUAAAUAAAUAAAUGUUCCACAUAUGAGAAAAAUCAUGUAGUGUUUUUAAAAGUUUCACUUAAUGAUACAAUUUCCAGUUGCAUCUGUUUUUUCCAUAAAUGUCAUUAUUUCAUCUUUUUAAAUGGUUCCAUAAAUUACAACUGUGCAUUUA